ensembl:lncRNA
CCAUCCUCUGGUGCCUAGGUAUCUGCACAGACUGCAAAGGGAACUGGGAAUGACUAUGACUUAAAUGCUUAACUUCUAGAUGUAUAAACUUUAGCAGGUAGGCUUACUCAAAACCACAUUUAAAGCAUAGAUACUACUUGUCCUCAGAUGCUACUUUACUUUUAUUAACUCUGCUUUUUCAACUGCAAACCCUGGGUAGGAUUUUAAACCUGCUCAUCAGCAUGCUUGCUCUUCAGGAAACAAAGCCAAGGAACAACAGGACAUGAGCUCAAUGCAUGGACUCCCAACUGGUCAGCUGAUUUGUGCAGAACCAGGGAACCUGCAUUUUCUACCAGAGGUGUCAGAAGAGCUGUUAAUAUUUGAUAGUGACUGGAAUGACAAAUGCAACAAGAGAAAGAGGGCUUGUAGUGGGAGAAAACUGUUGAAAACUGUUGAAAACUGUGGAGUUUCCAUUCGACAGCACAAGCGUUGAGGGCUCAGAACUGCCACAGGUAAGAAAAACAGCUUCUGUUAUGCACAUAUUUGUAUCUUGCUUAAGUAAUGUGAAUUUGCACUGAUUGCAGACCAUGCAGUACAUGCCACAGUAUUGCUGGAAUUUAUACAAAUCACUGUUAUUAAUGCAAUGCCAGCUGUUACAGUAGAAGAAACGAGGUAAAUGGCUGUAGUCCUAAUCAUUUUUCUCUUAAGAGUUGAAGAAAAAUAUUUAGAUUUAGACAGCUCUGCUUGAUUUUUGUGUCAUUAGACAAAAAUAAUGCUGAUUCUGGAAAAACGUUCCUCAUUUGUCACAGACUCAGCUGGUUUUCUUCAUUCCACUGAGCUCAAAAAUCUGAGAAUAGCUGACAAAUUGUUCUAAUGGCUAAAUGUUAUUCCAUCAUAUAAAUCCUGGAUGUUACUUCAAUACACAAAAUCUAGAAGAAGAAAAGGUAAAACCAGUGUAUUAGGCUGGUUGCUGAGACAAAAAUCCAGACAGAAAUGAAAUAUUGAUUGGAUCUGGCAACAUGACUUGGUGGGAACAGGAAUGGGUGGUUCAAAAUGUCUCUAAGAACAUUUAACAAAGAUGGAAUGAUACCAACGCUAUAAGUGGUCCCUGUAUAACUGACUUUGGGCAACAACCAGAAUUAUUUUGGUUUUUUUCUUGAGACUAAUUUUGCUUUGAAAAAUAUGAAGUUCAUAAACACACAUACCUAUGCAUCAUUUUCCAGUGGCACAUUUGUAAUUUGUUGUCUUCCAACACAAGAAGAAAAGCAUUCCUGUUAUGACAGUUUCUAUUUUUAAAAUGGCUUAGGGGAAAAAAAACCAAAAAACAAAGUGCUACAAAAAUCUGCAGCAAGAGAGAGAAUAAUGGGAUGGACCACUUAGCCCUGGAUAGUCAGAAGCAUUACUCUGAGGUCUAAUGUACUAAGCUCUUUCCAUUGCUUUCUCCUCCCUCCCACAAUUAGCACAGGCCUGUUUGGUUAGGUGUAUGAGCCAGUCUGACAAUAUGACACGUAUUCUUCCUGUGAAGAGCCUCACCAAAAGGGAUUACUGGGAGUUUUCAGAGUUGUUUGUUUUUGGCAGGUUUUUUUUGUUUGUUUGGGGUUUUUUGCAGUUUUUUGUUUGGUUGGGUUUUUUGUUUUGGUUUGGGUUUUUUUUGUUUUGGGGUUUUGUAUUGUUUUGUUUUGAAUUUAUUUAGAUAAUGUCUUUUUUCAAAAGGCCAAUUCUGACUCCCAAGAGAUAGUCCUUUCAGUCAAGGAAAGAUAAUGGAAAAGCUACUAAAACUCCUUGCACCUAUAGUUACAGUCUUUGCCAUAUGUGAACUGCAAGGUUUUGGGACACUGAUAAUGAAAAAGGGUAUAAACAGGUCUUCAAAGGAUGUUCGCUCAUAUUCAAUGCAGUGGAUCUGGAACAGUUGGAUCUGUCUUUAUCCCUGCUUUUGUGUGUGAUCCCAUCUGCUUCCUCAGGCCAGAAUUGCAAUCGCAUGUUCAUGGGAUAAUGCAAAUCAGGGAACUAAUCUGGGGCUGGGAAAAGAUGCUCACUCCAUAGUCUGGUUCAUUGUGAAGCCACAUAAAGCUCCAUGAUGGGAUGAAGGGAGGACAAGGAUUAAACCAGGGACCACCCAUUUCACCAGCGACACAGAAGUCCAUUGGUUCAAACAGAUCAAGAAAAUUUAGCCAGAUGGCCUGAUCCAAAUCCUGCUAAAGCCACUGUGAGCCCUCCACAUUAUCUCUUCUUCGUAGGAUUUCAGAGAUGGGUGAGCAGAAUGACUUACAGUAGCACUCUGGACAGCCUGGCCAAAACAUCUGGGAAUCAUCCACUGCAAUUUUGCAAAGGUUUCUCCCAGCACUGAGCUGUAAGGAGUGAAUCCUGUUUAAUAAGAUCCUGUGUGGGGACCAAGAAUCUGACUCUCAGAAAGGAGAAUGCACCAUUUUUUUUUUCUGACAGUGCAAAUAAAUCCUUUUGUAAGAAUUGUCA